rnacentral:rRNA from 1 species
UACGUAGGGUGCGAGCGUUAAUCGGAAUUACUGGGCGUAAAGCGUGCGUAGGCGGUUUCGCAAGUCCGCUGUGAAAGCCCCGGGCUCAACCUGGGAAUGGCAGUGGAAACUAUGAGACUUGAAUCUGGCAGAGGGGGGUGGAAUGCCACGUGUAGCAGUGAAAUGCGUAGAGAUGUGGCGGAACACCGAUGGCGAAGGCAGCCCCCGGGGCCAAGAUGGACGCUCAGGCACGAAAGCGUAGGGAGCAAACAGG